UACGUAGGGUCCAAGCGUUGUCCGGAUUUAUUGGGCGUAAAGGGCGCGUAGGCGGCCACGCACGUCCGUUGUGAAAUCGCCCGGCUCAACUGGGCGGGGUCAGCGGAUACGGUGUGGCUCGAGCAAGCUAGGGGGCAAUGGAAUUCCCGGUGUAGUGGUGGAAUGCGUAGAUAUCGGGAGGAACACCAGUGGCGAAGGCGGUUGCCUGGAGCUUUGCUGACGCUGAUGCGCGAAAGCGUGGGGAGCGAUCCGG
rnacentral:rRNA from 1 species